rnacentral:rRNA from 1 species
UACGUAGGGAGCAAGCGUUGUCCGGAUUCAUUGGGCGUAAAGCGCGCGUAGGUGGCCAUGUAAGUCCGCUGUGAAAGUCAAAGGCUCAACCUUUGAAAGCCGGUGGAUACUGCAUGGCUAGAGUACGGAAGAGGCGAGUGGAAUUCCUGGUGUAGCGGUGGAAUGCGCAGAUAUCAGGAGGAACACCAAUAGCGAAGGCAGCUCGCUGGGACGUUACUGACGCUGAGACGCGAAAGCGUGGGGAGCGAACAGG